AGAUUAAGUUAUUAAGGGCGCACGGUGGAUGCCUUGGCACUAGAAGCCGAUGAAGGACGUUACUAACGACGAUAUGCUUUGGGGAGCUGUAAGUAAGCUUUGAUCCAGAGAUUUCCGAAUGGGGAAACCCAGCAUGAGUUAUGUCAUGUUAUCGAUAUGUGAAUACAUAGCAUAUCAGAAGGCACACCCGGAGAACUGAAACAUCUUAGUACCCGGAGGAAGAGAAAGAAAAUUCGAUUCCCUUAGUAGCGGCGAGCGAAACGGGAAGAGCCCAAACCAACAAGCUUGCUUGUUGGGGUUGUAGGACACUCUAUACGGAGUUACAAAGGACGACAUUAGACGAAUCAUCUGGAAAGAUGAAUCAAAGAAGGUAAUAAUCCUGUAGUCGAAAAUGUUGUCUCUCUUGAGUGGAUCCUGAGUACGACGGAGCACGUGAAAUUCCGUUGGAAUCUGGGAGGACCAUCUCCUAAGGCUAAAUACUCUCUAGUGACCGAUAGUGAACCAGUACCGUGAGGGAAAGGUGAAAAGCACCCCGGAAGGGGAGUGAAAUAGAACCUGAAACCGUGUGCUUACAAGUAGUC
rnacentral:rRNA from 1 species